rnacentral:rRNA from 1 species
AGAGUUUGAUCAUGGCUCAGGAUAAACGCUGGCGGCGUGCCUAACACAUGCAAGUCGAACGCCCUACUUCGGUAGGGAGUGGCGGACGGGUGAGGAACACGUGGGUGAUCUGCCUUUGGGUGAGGAAUACCGGCGAGAAAUCGCCGACAAUACCGCAUAGGUUUGGAAACAAACAAAGCUCGCAAGAGCGCCUGAAGAUG